rnacentral:rRNA from 1 species
GAUGAACGCUGGCGGCGUGCCUAAUACAUGCAAGUCGAGCGAACAGACGAGGAGCUUGCUCCUUUGACGUUAGCGGCGGACAGGUGAGUAACACGUGGGUAACCUACCUAUAAGACUGGGAUAACUUCGGGAAACCGGAGCUAAUACCGGAUAAUAUUUCGAACCGCAUGGUUCGAUAGUGAAAGAUGGCUUUGCUAUCACUUAUAGAUGGACCUGCGCCGUAUUAGCUAGUUGGUAAGGUAACGGCUUACCAAGGCAACGAUACGUAGCCGACCUGAGAGGGUGAUCGGCCACACUGGAACUGAGACACGGUCCAGACUCCUACGGGAGGCAGCAGUAGGGAAUCUUCCGCAAUGGGCGAAAGCCUGACGGAGCAACGCCGCGUGAGUGAUGAAGGUCUUCGGAUCGUAAAACUCUGUUAUUAGGGAAGAAUAAACGUGUAAGUAACUGUGCACGUCUUGACGGUACCUAAUCAGAAAGCCACGGCUAACUACGUG